CAAGUACUCCCUCCGUCCGGAAUUACUUGUCAUCAAAAUGGAUGUGUCUAGAACUAAAAUACAUCUAGAUACAUGCAUUUCAAUAACAAGUAUUUUCAGGCGGAGGGAGUACAAG
rfam:Triticum urartu cultivar G1812 contig428994, whole genome shotgun sequence.